CUAUUUUAUUAACUAAAAAAUGUUUUUAAUUUGAUAAAGAGAGUCACCAAUUAAUUUUUCAAGAAAAAUUAAGAAAACCAAUUUUUCAAAAAAUUAAAACAGUAAAUCAAUUGAAAAUAUUAAGGGGGUUCUGGGUUUGAUAACAAGUCUGGCAUAACAAGUCGGGUGUGAAUUCUGUGAAGGUCAAGAACAACCUUUAUAUGGUGAAGAUCUUCUAGAGUGUUCUUUUCCAUCAGAUGCGUAGGAAAUAGAAGAAAUGUCUUUCCUCUUUUUCUUUAACAAUCCCGAAGAUCCAGACGAGGCAGUAACGCGUGCAAUCUUCCCGAUUCUUAGCCCGUCCUCGAUAGCCUCACCAACCUUGACUAUCUUGGCGAAUUUUGCUCCAAUGAGCAAUAUAAUCUUGUCAUAGUAUUUUGAUUCUUGAAUACGCACAAACACUUCAAUAAUUUCUUUUUCUGACAUAGGCGGCCUCUUUCCUCUCCAUCUAUACGUGUAUUCGUGGUAACUUCCGGUUGACUUCUAUCUAAUAUGUUCCAAAGAGUACCGUUCCAGAACGAUCUCUACAUUGUAGGCAAAUCGUUCGACUAAACUUCAGAUGUCGUUGGAUUGAAUUAUGAAGAUUUGCAUCCAUCAAAACUUGGAUCUUUAAGAAGGGUUCAAAGUGUCGAAAUUUGACACUUUUGGAGGAACUAGAAAUCUGUUGGCUCAUUUGAGGGCUUAUUGUGACCAGCUCGUAGGAGUUGGAAGAAAUGGAGUUUUGUUUAUGCGGCUCUUUAGUCAAAGUUUUAACGGGGAAGCGUUAGAACGGUUCACUUACCAGGAGAUGAAGCAAUGGUCCAGUUGGAACACACUCGCCAAGGAUUUUUUCAAACAAUUUGCCUACAAUGUAGAGAUCGUUUUGGACCAAUACUCUUUGGAAAUGAUCAGACAGAAGUCAAUUGAAAAUUACCGUGAAUACGGGUAUAGAUGGAGGAAAGAGGCUGCUAGAAUUCGACUGCCUAUGUUGGAAAAAGAAAUUGAUUAAGUGUUUGUGCGUAUUCAAGAACCAGAAUACUAUGACAUGAUUAUGUUGCUCAUUGGAGCAAAAUUCGCAGAGAUAAUCAAGGUUGGUGAGACUAUCGAGGACGGGCUAAGAAUUUGAGAAGUUGCUCGCAUGUUGCCUCGUCUGGAUCUUCGGGAUUGUUAAACAAGAAGAGGGAAGACAUUUCUUCUAUCCCCUAAGCAUCUGAGGGAAAGAAACACUCUAAAAAAUCUUCAUCGUACAGAAAUCGUUCUCGAUCUUCGUAGAAUUCAUGCGCGACUUGUUAUGCCCAAACUGGUUAUCAAAGCCCCUUAUUAUUUUCAAUUGAUUUACUAUUUUAAUCUUUUGAAAAUUAGUUUUAGUUUUUCCUUAAAAAUUUAGUGGCGACUCUCUUUAUCAAAUUGAAAAGAUUUUUUAGAUAAUAAAACAG